CCUACGGGUGGCAGCAGUGAGGAAUAUUGGUCAAUGGACGAGAGUCUGAACCAGCCAAGUAGCGUGAAGGAUGACUGCCCUAUGGGUUGUAAACUUCUUUUAUAUGGGAAUAAAACGUUCCACGUGUGGGAUUUUGUAUGUACCAUAUGAAUAAGGAUCGGCUAACUCCGUGCCAGCAGCCGCGGUAAUACGGAGGAUCCGAGCGUUAUCCGGAGUUAUUGGGUUUAAAGGGAGCGUAGGUGGAUUGUUAAGUCAGUUGUGAAAGUUUGCGGCUCAACCGUAAAAUGGCAGUUGAAACUGGCAGUCUUGAGUACAGUAGAGGUGGGCGGAAUUCGUGGUGUAGCGGUGAAAUGCUUAGAUAUCACGAAGAACUCCGAUUGCGAAGGCAGUUCACUGGACUGCAACUGACACUGAGGCUCGAAAGUGUGGGUAUCAAACAGGAUUAGAUACCCGUGUAGUC
rnacentral:rRNA from 1 species